GGCCCUGCUGCGCGCCGCUGCGCUCGGAGCCCGGCGGGGGCGCGUCGGAGCUGCGCACCGGCAGGGUGCCUGCUCCUCAGAGCUUCAUCUAAGGAAGAUCUCUGCCAGCGACCUGUGGCAAUGAGCACACAACUGAGGAACCUGUCCUUGUGAGACAGCAUCCUUGAAAAAGUGACGUUUAAGCCAACAUCCAAAUGAUACGUCAUGAGGAGCAGACAAGAUAAAAGGAUAUUUCCCCCCGAACGCUUGGCAGCCUGGAACCACUUCAUUCCAGAGUGCAGCUUCCCUGGGCGGCCCCUCUGCCAGGCCCUGUGCUGGGAGCCGACGACGGACAGACCAGGCCCGAUCCGCACCGCUGAGAAGCCCGCCAGCAGAGAAGGGAUGUGUGGGCAACUGAUGCUGACCAAGAGCAGAAUGAAUUUGGAGUCAGUUCACCUCCCCAAGCCCCGUCUUGCCUGUCUGUCGAGUAAAGGCGAUAACAGCGUGUUGAAGACCUGUGAGAACUGAGUGAGAUUGUGCGGAAGCAGGAAGCAGGAUCCGGGCGGAAAAACGUGAACCGCUGUUUACGAACUUUGCCUCCCUAAGCAGACCCAAUUCCUUGAAGGAUUCUUCCUGGAUGGUUGGAAACAUCAGACAAUAUUUCCGGCUGGCUGUUCUCCUGGGAGGGCCACACACCAGCAGAGGGAGGUGGGGAGGCCAGUGUGCUGCCCUUCCCUGCCCGGACCUCCUAUUUACCACCAGCGCAAGGGGUGUUGGGCCGUCUGAUCUGCAGAGGCCCUUCUAGACUAAAGAUUCUCAGUCUGUGGGCCAAAGUUAGGCCAAAGCAGAGGUCACCUCUUGGCGGACUUAUUGGCAUGACUGUCAGCAUCUCCCUUUGCCUCAGCCAGACCAGUUCAAUUUGACAUUGGUCUGUGGGUCCUCAGCAGCCCUCCCCCACCAAGUCAGGGAUUCCCUUUCUCUCCAGGAAUGCCCCACCAGUCACCCUCACUCCAGGCCUUGCCUCCAGCUGUUCCCCCUCCUCGUAAUGCCUUUGCUUUUCGUCUCUGAGCAAACUGCACAUCCUGGGAGGGCCAGUGGCAAACCUGCAUCAUCUCCAUUCGGUCAGCCUUCUGAGAGGGCAGAGGCUGUGCAGGGCCCUGCACUGGGAGCAGGUCAGGGGUGGGGUAUGCUCAGUGUGUGCCGUGCUGAGUACCCCGCUCACAGGAACCUUGCCCUCUGUGCUGGAGGGGCUUUCUUCCUGGCCUGUCGCAUCCUGCCCUGCUGUUCCCUAUUUGCCUCUCAGGAGAGCACAGUGUGGGCCUUAGGAGCAUGGGCUCAGAGGUAAGACCCCUUGGCUUGUGUGCAAGCUCCCCACCCCUAUUGAGAUGAUCAUGGGCAAGUUAGGGGAGCCCCCCUGCACCUCAGUGUCCUCAUCUGUAAAGUGGGCAUAGGAUAGUACCUACUCCAUGGAGUUCUCAUGAGCAGUAAACAGAUAAUCUAUGUAAAGCGCCAAGCAUUGCCCCCAGCAUAUCAUAGGGGUUCAGCGUUACCCAGGUGCAAUGUUCAAACGGUGCUGUUGUGAGGACCCUGGCCCCUCUCCCCACUGGCCCCCGGGCUUCCCAAGGGCAGGGCUUUGGAGGAACGUGAAGGUACAGAAUGUGUGGUUGAGGACCACAUCAUUAAUGUGUAUUUGAUUGUUUCAUCAAUCCCUUGAGCCCCAUGGACUCCCAGGAAAGCCUAAAGGGAAGGGACCAGGACAGGUCAGUUUUGAUGUAUGGAGUGUGGAGCUUGGGGCACCCUGGAGGAGUUCCUGGGCAUUGGGGGUGCCUGGUAAGCCCUGGGGUGGGGGCUACUGCUAAGGGCAAAGCAGCUUUGGCCACCCUGGCCUCAUUCAGCAUCAAGGAGACUGAGGGAAUGACAUCAAGUGACAGGUGGCCCUGUCUCCUCCUCAGGCCCCAGAGCUUCUUGGGUCCUCAGCUGGAUUGGAACGCCAGGCCACUGCAUCUGCCUGGCUACAGACCUAGACUGGAGGUGGAGAAUUUGGGAUGCUGCCGGGGAGGAGGCCUGGCCAGGGGCAUCUGAGAACCACACUACAGGGGAGACUUUGACCUGGAGAAAGGGUGCUCCAAAAACAGGGUGACCAACUCUUCACCGGUUGCCUGAGGCUUUCCUGGUUUUCGCUUGGCAAGUGCUAAAACCCGGGAAGCCCCUCCGUUUCAGACAAAGUGGGACAGUUGGUCAGCCCUCUUCCACGCUGCUCUGUGUCCACCCUCCCCGCUCCCUGACUAGUCGCCUGCGCCUCCUGGGCCUGCGCCUCCCUGGAAACCACCCUAGUCUCCUGUGAGGGCCCCCCAAAGGCCUUCCACCCCAGAAAGCUCCCGCUCUGGGGCCUGUUCCGAUAGAAGGCUCUAACUGGCCAGAUGGAGUCUGCCGCACUGUCCUGCCAGGACCCUCUACAGCCGCAAUGAGAGACUGACAAAUGGGACUUCUCAGCUCACCCUGCCCACAGGCAGGCCGAAGUGCAGGGCCCUGGCCACCGAGGGGGCAGGCCUGGGGCCCGAGGCUGAGCGGCUCUGCCGCGGCAUCCUCGGAUAAUUGGCGGGAGCACCCAGCCAGGCUCAGGCUGCCCUCCGGCCCCCUCCUCUGCUGGCUCAGUGCCCGGUCCAGCAGGGGCCGACCAUCAAUAAUUGGGUCACCCCCACUCCCAUCCCCACCAUCAUGCUUCCACCAGUGAUAGCAUUUCA